rnacentral:rRNA from 1 species
UACGUAGGGUGCAAGCGUUAAUCGGAAUUACUGGGCGUAAAGCGUGCGCAGGCGGUUUUGUAAGUCAGAUGUGAAAUCCCCGGGCUUAACCUGGGAACUGCGUUUGAAACUACAAGGCUAGAGUGUGGCAGAGGGGGGUGGAAUUCCACGGUGUAGCAGUGAAAUGCGUAGAGAUGUGGAGGAACACCGAUGGCGAAGGCAGCCCCUGGGUUAACACUGACGCUCAGGCACGAAAGCGUGGGAGCAAACAGG